AGUGGGAGCUAUCCGAGAGGAGACUGAAAUUCGUCCAUUCAAUUAAAAUGGCAUUUAUGAGACACUAUAUGUUCACAUAAAAAUAGCAUCAGACACAGUACAGAAGCCAAAAGCUUCAAGAGAGAAGAAAUCCAGAGAACAAUGGAAAUGGGCUUGAAGAGCUCCCUGUUGUGCCGAGAACCUCCACUGUCAGCAUCGGGAGACCUCCAUCUCAGGAUAUUCCAAAGAUCUUGCACACAAGUGCUCGCAAGGUGGCAUGACGUGUGAACAGACGAAAGAUUAAAAUCACCGAGGAAAUCGCUCUGUCUGAGCCCAGAUCACGACGCCUUCCAGUGACCCAGCGACCCAAAUGCUAUCUGUCAACUUGUCCUUCCAGCGACUUUUCACCCCAUGCUCUGUGGCUGCUACUCCAGGAAAAAAAGAAAAAAAAGAGAAAUCAG
rnacentral:lncRNA from 1 species